AGAGUUUGAUCAUGGCUCAGAGUGAACGCUGGCGGCGUGCUUAACACAUGCAAGUCGAACGAGAACGGAUUAUAGCUUGCUAUAAUUGUCAGCUAAGUGGCGCACGGGUGAGUAAUGUAUAGGUAAUAUGCCUCUUACUAAGGGAUAACAAUUGGAAACGAUUGCUAAUACCUUAUACUCCUUACUAACUAAAGUUAGUAAGGGAAAGAUUUAUUGGUAAGAGAUUAGCCUGUAUUGUAUCAGUUAGUUGGUGGGGUAAUGGCCUACCAAGACAAUGACACAUAACUGGUUUGAGAGGAUGAUCAGUCACACUGGAACUGAGACACGGUCCAGACUCCUACGGGAGGCAGCAGUGGGGAAUAUUGCACAAUGGACGAAAGUCUGAUGCAGCAACGCCGCGUGGAGGAUGACACAUUUCGGUGCGUAAACUCCUUUUAUAUGAGAAGAUAAUGACGGUAUUAUAUGAAUAAGCACCGGCUAACUCCGUGCCAGCAGCCGCGGUAAUACGGGGGGUGCAAGCGUUACUCGGAAUCACUGGGCGUAAAGAGAAUGUAGGCGGAUUGAUAAGUUUGAAGUGAAAUCCUAUAGCUUAACUAUAGAACUGCUUUGAAAACUGUUAAUCUAGAAUGUGGGAGAGGUAGAUGGAAUUUCUGGUGUAGGGGUAAAAUCCGUAGAGAUCAGAAGGAAUACCGAUUGCGAAGGCGAUCUACUGGAACAUUAUUGACGCCGAGAUUCGAAAGCGUGGGGAGCAAACAGGAUUAGAUACCCUGGUAGUCCACGCCCUAAACGAUGUACACUAGUUGUUGUGAGACUUGAUCUUGCAGUAAUGCAGUUAACACAUUAAGUGUACCGCCUGGGGAGUACGGUCGCAAGAUUAAAACUCAAAGGAAUAGACGGGGACCCGCACAAGCGGUGGAGCAUGUGGUUUAAUUCGACGAUACACGAAGAACCUUACCUGGACUUGACAUAGUAAGAACUUUCUAGAGAUAGAUUGGUGUCUGCUUGCAGAAACUUAUAUACAGGUGCUGCACGGCUGUCGUCAGCUCGUGUCGUGAGAUGUUGGGUUAAGUCCCGCAACGAGCGCAACCCUCGUCAUUAGUUGCUAACAGUUCGGCUGAGAACUCUAAUGAGACUGCCUACGC
rnacentral:rRNA from 1 species